CGUGUAAUUAUUUAUUAAAAAAAAAAAGAAAAAAGCCACCCAUAUUAUUUGUUGAAUUAAAAAAAAUAAAAAAUAAAAGAUGGCACGUUAAGUGUUGUCCCUCACUUCUCUCUACCUCUUCCUUCAUCAUCUCAUUGUUCUUUCUUCUUCUCCCUUGUGUAACCACCACCACCGGUCAACUCCUACCAACAUCUAACCUCUUCCGGCAACAUUUAGCAAAAAUACUUGUUCAAAAAAAAAAACAUUUAGCAAAAAUAACUACAUAUUCAUCAUCCUCUUGAUCUCAUCUAUCUUUCUAUCAAAGCCAACUAUUAAGAGGAGUUAAUUUUAAAAAUGGGUCAUUUUCUUAAAAGCGUUUUCCGGCUAUGACCACCACAAACUUUCCGGCCACCACCACCACCAAAAAAUGUGCAGUUUCACCACUGAUUCUUUGUAAGGUUGUUGGUGUUAAAUUUAUGCCUUUUUGAAUUCUUCUCAAAUCUUUUUCCUACUACAAACUUGUGAAAUUCAAAGGAAUUAGAUAGUUGUGGAGUUGACAGCACACCUUUGAUUAUUUCUGUUUUGGAAACAAGCUUGUUGCUGGUUUGGAAAAUUUAGAAAAUUCAGAUUAUGCGGCUGAGCCGCCUGUUCAGAUGGUGGUGGAGGGUUUUGUUGAUUAAAAUGAAAUUUUCUUAGGAUCAAACAAUUGAUAAUAAUAAGAUGUUUUCAAGAUUUUUUUGGGGAAGAACACAUGAAGAUGAAGUGGUAUGUGUCUUCUUUCUUUUGCAGAUUUGGAUUUUGAGAAAGAACAAAUAGACAUGAAUACAUGAUUUUCCAGAUUUUGCACACCACACGUGCAACUUCCAAUUUGCCUUUCUUUUUUUAUAUUUUUUAAUUCAACAUAUACACACGUGGAAAUUAUAAUAUUUUUUAACUAAAAACUUACACAUGUGGCAUGCCACACAAGCGUUGACUUAGUCAAAAUAAGAAAAAAAAGACUACUAUUGCAAAGGGGCUAAUUUAUAGAGGGCCAAAUUUGUCAUUUUUUUUUACAUAAGGGGUUAAAAUUGCAACUUUUUAAAACUUAAGGGGGAAAAGGUGCACUUUAACCUAAAAAAAAUAAAUCCUCGUUUCAAUACAUGUAAAUCAAUUUUAGGACAAAUUAUGAUUCAGAACAUUCACAGUGGCCUUUAUUAGACCGUGAAUUUCAAUUUUGUUUCCCAACAUCAUUCGUGAGUAAAUAGUGCCGCCGAAUGAAAUUGGUUGGAAGAUUUUCCAUUUUACUCAAAAUAAGGGCAUUGUAUACAGCCGCAAUUAUGUUGUUAAAUAGUACUUUUUUUUUUUUUUUGAGGGAAUGUUGUUAAAUACUUUGAUUAGCAAGAGUAUCAAAGUUUAAAUCAAGCAACAAACAGUGAAGAAAACAACAGUGGCCUGGCAGCACCAAUAUAUCAAGGAGUAAGUGGCAAUGAUAUACCUGUAAUAUGUUAUUCAGCAUUCAAAGAUCCUCUUCCAUUUUCUUUACAUUAGUAUACAGAUCAGAAAUUAACAAAUUUCCAUGUAUCAGAAAUUCGACACAAGUGUAAAACUGUAAUCAAACUGAAUUGAGCGGCUAUUAAUUAACAGUUAUCAAUCAACUGCAGAUCUUCACGAAAAGGACAGCCUACGAAAACAAAGGAAGGGCGAGUCUACUUUUACGGUCAUUCUCGUCAUAAAAGAGAUGAUGACUCAUUCAAACUCAUAAGAGGCCC
rnacentral:lncRNA from 1 species